rnacentral:rRNA from 1 species
CGACCGGCGCACGGGUGCGUAACGCGUAUGCAACCUACCUUUAACGAGGGGAUAACACUGAGAAAUUGGUACUAAGUACCCCCAUAAUAUCAUAGAAAGGCCAUCUUUCAUGGUUGAAAAUUCCGAUGGUUUAGAGGAUGGGCAUGCGUUGUAUUAGCUAGUUGGUGAGGUAAACGGCUCACCAAGGCGACGAUACAUAGGGGGACUGAGAGGUUAACCCCCCACACUGGUACUGAGACACGGACCAGACUCCUACGGGAGGCAGCAGUGAGGAAUAUUGGUCAAUGGACGCAAGUCUGAACCAGCCAUGCCGCGUGCAGGAUGACGGCUCUAUGAGUUGUAAACUGCUUUGUACUAGGUAAACUCACCUACGUGUAGGUGACUGAAAGUAUAGUACGAAUAAGGAUCGGCUAACUCCGUG